CCCAUAACGAGCGCAACCCCUACUGCCAGUUUGCCAGCGGGUCAUGCCGGGGACUCUAGCGGAACUGCCAGCGUAAGCUGCGAGGAAGGUGGGGAUGACGUCAAAUCAGCACGGCCCUUACGUCCAGGGCUACACACGUGUUACAAUGGCCAGUACAGAGGGCAGCCACCCCGCAGGGGGCGCUAAUCCUAAAAGCUGGUCCCAGUUCGGAUCGGAGUCUGCAACCCGACUCCGUGAAGCUGGAUUCGCUAGUAAUCGCGCAUCAGCCACGGCGCGGUGAAUACGUUCCCGGGCCUU
rnacentral:rRNA from 1 species